AUGGUGCUGGACAAGGAGAGGAGCAGGGUCCUUGUAAUUGGUGGCACAGGUCACAUAGGCAAGCAUAUCGUCGCGGCGAGUGCCCGCCGUGGCCACUCGACCUCUGUCCUCAUCAGGGAUGUUGCUCCGUCUGAUCCAGCCAAGAUGGAGCUCCUCAAGAGGUUCACUGAUUCCGGUGUUGCUCUCAUCAAGGGAGAUUUAUUUGACCACGGGAGCCUCGUAAAUGCCAUAAAGGGUGCAGACAUUGUCAUCUCGGCCGUGGGGCCCCGUCAGCUCGCCGAGCAGACGAGGAUUGUCAUUGCAAUCAAGGAGGUCGGCAAUGUGAAGAGGUUUCUGCCAUCUGAGUUCGGCUCUGAUGUAGAGCGGGUUCACACCGUUGAUCCAGCGGCCACAUUGUGCGCUAGUAAAGUCAAAUUUCGCUGUCUGAUUGAGGCGGAGGGUAUACCUCAUACAUAUGUCUGCUGCAAUGGGUUCGCCGAAACCUACCUUCCGAGCAUUGGCGAUGUUACAGCUGUUGGCGCUGGCCCUCCGUCCGACAAGAUCACCGUCCUAGGCGAUGGAGAUGCAAAAGCAGUGUUUGUGGUGGAAGAAGACAUAGCUGCCUACACGGUGAGGGCGGUCGACGAUCCUAGAACCCUGAACAAGAUCCUGUACAUGAGGCCGCCGGCGAACAUAUUGUCCCACAACGAGCUCAUCUCGAUGUGGGAAAGGAAAGUGGACAGGACUUUCCAUGUCGUGCGCAUCCCGGAGGCGGAUCUCCUGAAGAUGAUCAAGGGUACAUCCAUCAUACUGCGACCAGACUUGUAUAUGUGGUGUUUGUACAUGGUUGCAACGGCACCUCUGACCUCUCUUGACAUGCAUAAUGCAGAGGUGGCGUUCCCUAUGAACAUAUUGCUGUCCCUCGCGCUCUCCAUCUUCGUUAGGGGCGACCAGGCCAACUUCGAGAUUGAACCAUCCUUUGGCGUUGAGGCCACUAAGCUGUACCCCGACCUAAGGUACACCACUGUCGACGAGUAUCUCGACCGCCUACUCUGA
rnacentral:rRNA from 1 species